UACGUAGGGUGCAAACGUUGUCCGGAAUUAUUGGGCGUAAAGAGCUCGUAGGCGGUCUGUCGCGUCUGCUGUGAAAUCCCGAGGCUCAACCUCGGGCUUGCAGUGGGUACGGGCAGGCUAGAGUGCGGUAGGGGAGAAUGGAACUCCUGGUGUAGCGGUGGAAUGCGCAGAUAUCAGGAAGAACACCGAUGGCGAAGGCGGCACUCUGGGCCGGUACUGACGCUGAGGAGCGAAAGCGUGGGGAGCAAACAGG
rnacentral:rRNA from 1 species